UACACACCGCCCGUCGCUACUACCGAUUGAAUGGCUGAGUGAGGCCUUCGGACUGGCCCAGGGAGGUCGGCAACGACCACCCAGGGCCGGAAAGUUGGUCAAACUCCGUCAUUUAGAGGAAGUAAAAGUCGUAACAAGGUUUCCGUAGGUGAACCUGCGGAAGGAUCAUUAAAGAGUAAGGGUGCUCAGCGCCCGACCUCCAACCCUUUGUUGUUAAAACUACCUUGUUGCUUUGGCGGGACCGCUCAGUCUCGAGCCGCUGGGGAUUCGUCCCAGGCGAGCGCCCGCCAGAGUUAAACCAAACUCUUGUUAUUAAACCGGUCGUCUGAGUUAAAAUUUUGAAUAAAUCAAAACUUUCAACAACGGAUCUCUUGGUUCUCGCAUCGAUGAAGAACGCAGCGAAAUGCGAUAAGUAAUGUGAAUUGCAGAAUUCAGUGAAUCAUCGAAUCUUUGAACGCACAUUGCGCCCCUUGGUAUUCCGAGGGGCAUGCCUGUUCGAGCGUCAUUACACCACUCAAGCUAUGCUUGGUAUUGGGUGCCGUCCUUAGUUGGGCGCGCCUUAAAGACCUCGGCGAGGCCACUCCGGCUUUAGGCGUAGUAGAAUUUAUUCGAACGUCUGUCAAAGGAGAGGAACUCUGCCGAUUGAAACCUUUAUUUUUCUAGGUUGACCUCGGAUCAGGUAGGGAUACCCGCUGAACUUAAGCAUAUCAAUAAGCGGAGGA
rnacentral:rRNA from 1 species